GACGAACGCUGGCGGCGUGCCUAAUACAUGCAGGUCGAGCGGACGGAUGGGAGCUUGCUCCCAGACCGUCAGCGGCGGACGGGUGAGUAACACGUGGGCAACCUGCCUGUAAGACUGGGAUAACUCCGGGAAACCGGGGCUAAUACCGGAUAACUCUUUCCCUCACAUGAGGGAAAGCUGAAAGAUGGCAUCUCGCUAUCACUUACAGAUGGGCCCGCGGCGCAUUAGCUAGUUGGUGAGGUAACGGCUCACCAAGGCGACGAUGCGUAGCCGACCUGAGAGGGUGAUCGGCCACACUGGGACUGAGACACGGCCCAGACUCCUACGGGAGGCAGCAGUAGGGAAUCUUCCGCAAUGGACGAAAGUCUGACGGAGCAACGCCGCGUGAGUGAUGAAGGUUUUCGGAUCGUAAAACUCUGUUGUCAGGGAAGAACAAGUACCGGAGUAACUGCCGGUACCUUGACGGUACCUGACCAGAAAGCCACGGCUAACUACGUG
rnacentral:rRNA from 1 species